UUCCAGUAAGGCAUGGAGUUUUACCUGUACUGAGGCUGACUUUCCAUCAGACAGAGACGUGAAGGAGAACAAGGGCUCAUGGGCAAUUCCAGCGUGUCCUCGUGGAUGGGCCACCGGGCCCCUUUUCUCUGACUCAAAUGGCAAUCUGGUUCACAAUAAACAACGUGACCAGGUCUAUACUGCCAGUAGCAGCCCCCUGAGGAUCUGCAGCUAACCCCAAAUGCUCUAUCCUUUUCUGCAUCUUUUUCUUUUCAAAGAACUCCUGGGCAAAAAGAAAAAAUAUGUCAAAUACUUCUUGCAGAAAUUUUUAUUUUCAGCCACACCAAAACAUAACUAGCAAUUUGUUUUUGAGGCGACAAUGAAGAAAACAAACGAUAGCCAGAUGGCAGGACGAGAAAACGCAGGCCAAAGUUACUUGAACGAAUGUAGGAAAACACGGCCUUAUGGCUUUUCUACACUGAAUUAUUUUGUUAUACGGUUCUAAAGUUCAUUAACUUCAGCCUUACCCUUUGUUUUCUUGCAUCAUUUUUGAGCAUGCAUCGGUUCCUGAAAGUGAACAAACAUGUUUUUUAACAUUAGCUGACCUGAAUUAAAAACAACAUGUCAGUGAAGUUAGAUAACGUUACUAAAAUAAAUUAUGUUUACAUUG